rnacentral:misc_RNA from 1 species
AACGAUACUUUCGUACUAGAGUGCCCACACGAGUAAUCAAAUAUUUAAAAGAAGAUCUUUAUAAGUUUUGGUAUGUAAUUUUCUAGUGUUUAUAUCAUUAUGAUAUUUACACCAGUGUCAUAUCUUUUUGAUAUGUACACGUAGAUCACUGCAUUUAAUAGAAGAAAAUUUUAUUAAGUUAUUCUCAAACAAUAACCAAAAAACUUAGUUCGCUUAAAAGGAGAACUAAGUAUAUAGCCCUUUUU